rnacentral:rRNA from 1 species
AUUGACCGCUGGCGGCAGGCCUAACACAUGCAAGUCGAACGCGUGGCGGACGGGUGAGUAAUGUCUGGGAAACUGCCUGAUGGAGGGGGAUAACUACUGGAAACGGUAGCUAAUACCGCAUACCAUCAGAUGUGCCCAGAUGGGAUUCGCUUGUUGGUGGGGUAAAGGCUCACCAAGGCGACGCUCCCUCGCUGGUCUGAGAGGAUGACCACCCACACGUGAACUGAGACACGGUCCAGAGUCCGACGAGAGGCAGCAGUGGGGAAUAUUGCACAAUGGGCGCAAGCCUGAUGCAGCCAUGCCGCGUGUAUGAAGAAGGCCUUCGGGUUGUAAAGUACUUUCAGCGGGGAGGCGUUACCCGCAGAAGAAGCACCGGCUAACUCCGUGCCAGCAGCCGCGGUAAUUC